GACGAACGCUGGCGGCGCGCUUAACACAUGCAAGUCGAACGCUGAAGCCCUUCGGGGUGGAUGAGUGGCGAACGGGUGAGUAACACGUGGGUAAUCUGCCCUGCACUCUGGGAUAAGCCUUGGAAACGGGGUCUAAUACCGGAUACGACACAUCGCCGCAUGGUGUGUGUGUGGAAAGUUCCGGCGGUGCAGGUUGAGCCCGCGGCCUAUCAGCUUGUUGGUGGGGUGAUGGCCUACCAAGGCGACGACGGGUAGCCGGCCUGAGAGGGUGACCGGCCACACUGGGACUGAGACACGGCCCAGACUCCUACGGGAGGCAGCAGUGGGGAAUCUUGCGCAAUGGGCGAAAGCCUGACGCAGCAACGCCGCGUGGGGGAUGACGGCCUUCGGGUUGUAAACCUCUUUCGACCGGGACGAAGGAUUCGUUUGACGGUACCGGUAGAAGAAGCACCGGCUAACUACGUGCCAGCAGCCGCCGUAA
rnacentral:rRNA from 1 species